CUCCAUCUCCUCUCACCCUCUCUCUCCGCGCACCCCAUCCUCAGGCCCAGAACCCGUCCUCUAUACACAGGCUUAUGUGUCACCGGCAAUGGAAGUCGAAUGCUCCUCCUCGCUCACCCCUCCGUACCAAAUGUCGACAUCAAAUCUAGUUUUCCCUGGUGGCGGCGGCCUCAAUGCUCAAGGCGAAUAUGGAGGAUGGUGCUAGUGUCUGGCGCCUACGGACCUUGCGUCUGGGUCAGUUGUGCAGGUAUUUGAGAGCGUGGAGCUACCGGCUGGGUUAUCCACUGUACUGUCGUGAGGACACACUAAAUUUUAUGACAC